AACGUAAUAGAUUCAAACAAUAAGGCUGUAACGGGAACUUGGUGGACUGACCGCGUUCACCGAGGACCUGUGACCCGGGUCUGAGUGGCGCCGGUCGCGAAAUGGAUGAGACUCCUUUGGCACGGGAGGGAAACAUGCAGUUGGGAUAAACACGUAAGUUAUUUAUGUUAUUAUAGGGCAAGAGCGACAUAAUAGUGCGUAUGUUGCGUAGAGAAUAGCACUAUUUAAUUCAUAACCACUCGAGUAGCCACUGUGUGAACAGUCAUAUAAUACAAGCCCAGUUGUAGCAGCGCUGCUGUAGAAGUGUAAAGAAUAGUUAAAAAAAAAAAGAAAGAAAGAAAGAAAUCCUAUUUGCAGGAAAACAUGACGUGAGGGCUUGUUGAUGGAGGAGGUUAUACACACUUUAGAUCACGAGUGUUUCAUCAUCGACAUGACAACAGGUAAAUUAAACUGCGUCAGCGAGAAGGACCGACAAGCCACAUACAAUCCAGUGGGAAUUUCCGCUGCGAUGGUGGGACAUGCUGCGACGGCAGCGUUGUUGUUCUCGCUCUAAAACUUGACUUGUGCCUGGUUUUAGUGAUAAUAUGAAGAUGUAAACAAAGCGUGGAAUCGGCGGGGAUGGCGUGUGAUGGAAGAGCUCGGAAUAGGAUGCUGCGCAAGAGAUGGAUCAUAGUGCGUAUCCUGUUGUGGAAGACGAUGUUACGCAGUUCAUAUUGGCACGAUUAUUUAACACCAUGGUCUUUUUUCCCUGAGUGUUAUCAGAAAUAACUGACCGGGUCUGAGUGACUUUUUAAGGAAAGCAGGAUAAAGAUACUUUCUAAACACGGUCACACAUUGACGCACGGGGGGUUGUUCUAUUGUUUUGCGUAAUUUCGAAGGAAAUAAAAACUUAUGCUUCAAGUGAGCAACACAGUGGUGACGCAGCUUGUUUUAUCUUUGAGAUGCCAAACAACAUUUGCUGCGUCACAGAGAUUCCAGGAGGUUCUUAAUAGUAAUCUGGCUUUUUAGUGCGCACUUGGUAUGAUGAAAACAAACUCUAUUUCCCAAAUAUAGGGGGUGCUAUUGAGUAACACAGUCUUUGGGAUGUAUCAUCUGCUGUAAAGGGAUGUUGACAUACAGGUAUUCGUCAUCUCGAACCUGAAUACUAACUGUUUGACUUUUUUUUUUUUUUUUCUCUGGGGCCUUUUUGUUUUAUCAUUUUACCCCUGAUUACGUGGACAAAUCAAAUACCUUAUGAUUAUGUAUUAUGUUAUGUAACUAAAUACAUCACACAAAGCCUUGAGCUUUCUAAAACAAAGUUAGAGUCCUUAAAGCUGUUGUUGCUGUGAGAAAACCAUUUAGUGGAUUUGUCUCCUUUUUCUAGAAUUUGUAAUGCACACCUGCCUAAGCACAAUGGGACACUGACGCACCUGAUGGGAUGUUGCCGUUGACACCAAGGUUUCUGGCUCCUGUUGACCUUCCUAAUAACCCUAGUGAAGGAAGGCCUCCUGCUGCUUACCUGCCAGAGGGACAGGAGAUAAAGUGCGUCCCCGCCUCUCAGAGCUUCUGAGGACAACAGCGUCUGAGACACUGACACGGCAGAUAACGCCAGUCUUUUAAUGCCAGACCUGCAAAUAGAAUCCAGUGAGUCCUCCACGUUAAUUCUUUUGGUAUUGUGCUGUCAUUUCAAAAGAAAAUUGGAACGGUAAUGGUGACAGAGAAAGUCUCAAAUGAGCUCUCUGUAGACAUAUUGUACUGCAUGCCUCGUAGCAAUGGACAACAGGGGUUCAUACUAAUGAGUCCUUACCAAUUUCAGGACCAUGUUUUUCUAUCUUGCACCACAGUCUACCCGGCUUGGACCAGGAGCGGGACUGGAUGCCUGAGGGAGACCCAGGAGAGGACACAGUAUCCUAUUGUGCAUUACAAAGAAGUCUACAGAGAGCUGCGGAGAUCUAUUUUUCCACAGUAUGAAUCAUAGACAGUUUUUGUUGGGGUUCAUCUCUGGUGCCAGUCUGCUGCCAUGCCCUUUCUUACACUGCGAUCUUGGUUAUCUGAUGCACCUCUGAUGUAAGGAAUUAAGCUGCUGUGUCACUCUUAGAGGAGCUGGCCAUGACUCAGUGGUUCUCCUCAUUGGGUGCCAGCAAAGAGUCUGUAUCUGCCUAAGUUUCUGGUUCCUCUUAUGGCUUAUGGUUUCAAUCUCUUUGGAAAGAGAUAUACUUCCAGGCCUUAGGAAAUAUCUCAAAUGUAUCACUGUAUGGACCCAAAUAUGCUAUGUUUAUAGUCAGUAAAAUGUAGUUUGUGCAAAUAUUUCACUUCACAUUGUGUGUGACAAAACAGGCGAGUAUUCUGUUCUCCAUUAUAUAACCAAAGUUGAUAUGAUGAGAUGAAAGUUGUUAAACAUUAUUUUAUUCAAUUUCAACACCAGACUUAACUUGAGGGCAGCGUUUCAAACAAACUGCAGAGGUUUACAUAGGCAAAAAUGGAUUUUAGUGUGUGUCUAAAAAAUCAGUUCUCCUUAUCAAAUAGCCACGAGAACAACAAAUAUAUGCCCUAAAGAGUUGGAAUUGUAUUACCUCUGUAAAUGCAGCUUGAACAAACAGGUUACUCAAAUAACUGCCUGUGUAGUGUUGCUUUUUGCCUUUGUUAACUGGUAACAGGCUACAUCAUUACAAGGCAUUGAGUACUGCAUUAAGCAGUUUGGCAAGACACUGGAUAUCUGUCUAAUGGAAAAUUAAAUGAUUAUUACACAUACAUGUACCACUGUGUACCCAGUAAUAGGAUGAGCCACUUUUAUUGAUGGUGUUAGAAUCAUUUAUAAGUUGAUUCAUUCCAUUUUCACGAUCUGAUACUGAAACUGACUGUGGCGUAGCCCCAUGCCUGAUUUUGUGUCUUAACCAUUAAAACAAAUACGUUCAAAAGUGA